CAUCAACAGCCGCCUCCUCAUCAACAACCUCCUCCUAAUUAUCAGCAGCAGCCGCCGCUUUAUCAACCGCCUCCUCCUAAUUAUCAGCAGCCGCCGCUUUAUCAACAGCCGGGUCCUUAUCAUCAACCUCCUCCUUAUCAGGUAUCAUAGAAUCUCUCUUUUGUUCUUGUCUCAGUUGUGUGAAUCAGAGUUUUGUCUGUAGAUUAAGGCUAUUAGGUUAAUCAGAGAUAUCAAUGUCAGUACACAGUUUCCUUUUUUCUUGUCUAACUUGUUACCUUCUUGUUGUAUCUUCUUCAGGACCAAGACCAUCCUCACGACCAAGUCCAUCCUCAGCAGAUUCCCCAACCUCAUAUGCCUCCUCAGGAAAACCCUAAUGCUCCACCGCCUGACUACCAGCAGAUGUUAGAGAAUUUGUUGGUUCUGCCUGGCCGAGAGCAUCUUCCACGGCUGAGUAAUGUCCCAAUUCCAGGCGUUG
rnacentral:lncRNA from 1 species